UACGGAGGAAGCAAGCGUUGUUCGGAUUUACUGGGUGUAAAGGUCAUGUAGGCGUCCCAUUAAGUCGGAUGUGAAAUCCCUUGGCUCAACCAAGGAACUGCAUUCGAUACUGGUGGGAUUGAGUACGAGAGAGGUAAGCGGAAUUCCGGAAGUAUGGGUGAAAUCAGUAGAUAUCCGGAAGAACACCAUUAGCGAAGGCGGCUUACUGGCUCGAUACUGACGCUGAAAUGAGAAAGCUAGGGGAGCGAACAGG
rnacentral:rRNA from 1 species